rnacentral:rRNA from 1 species
AUGGAUUGUACUCUCCGUAUCAUGUUCUGGAACACUCGUGGCCUCAACUGUCCUGCGAAGCGGAGCUCUGUCCGCUCGGUCGUGUGUGCUGCUCGCACCACCAUGGUCUGCCUGCAAGAGACGAAGCUCGCAGACGUCACCCCCUUGUUGGUCGCCAAUUCUCUUGGGAGCGAGUUCUCUAAUUUCUUUAACCUCCCUGCUUGGCGCCCAUCCGAGAUCUCCCUAACCAACCCCUUCAUCGGGGCUCAUUUCAUCGCGGCCUGCGCCACCACCCUAGGAUCCAACUCUCACUGGUAG